rnacentral:lncRNA from 1 species
CUUACUGUUAAGGGACAAGCUAAGGGCUGACUGCUCUCCCCCACGAGUGGAAGUGCCAAAGUGGGUUUAUCUUUACUGCAGGUCUCCUGUGUGCUGGAAUCUGUGCUAGGCACUGUUCCUGCUUUAUUUCAAUGAACACUUGUAGCAAUCUGAAAGGUCAUAUUGGCUAAGGACUUGAGCUCUGGAUCUAAAGCAGGCCUUGUUUUCAAUCUCAGAUUCAGCACUUUCCAAGAGUGUCUUUGUAGCCCAUUGCCGGGCUUCUUUUCUCUUUUUUUUUUUUUUUUUUUUUGAGACAGAGUCUCGCUCUGUCGACCAGGCUGGAGUCCAACGGCCCGAUCUCGGUUCACUUCAACCUCUGCCUCCUGGGUUCAAGCAAUUCUCCCGCCUCAGCCUUCCGAGUAGCUGGGAUUACAGGCGCGUACAACCACGCCCAGCUAAUUUUUGUAUUUUUAGUAGAGAUGAGGUUUCGAGGUUUCACCAUGUUGCCCAGGCUGGUUUUGAACUCCUGGGCUCAAGCGAUCUGCCCUCCUCAGCCUCCCAAAACGGUCGGAUUAUAGGCGUGAACCACCGCACCCAGCCGCCUGGAAUUUUUAAGCCUCAAGUUUGUUCCACUUUGAAUGCAAGAAGCCACCUCAUAGGAAUCUGCCUCUUGGGACCCAGCUGCCACACUGUAAGGAAGUCCAGAGCGGGCGUGAGAGGCUGCAUGGAGGCGAACUGAGCGUCCCACUGAGCUACCAGCCGAAUGCAGCCACAGGAGUGACCCCAGCAGAUGCCACAUGGAAUGGAAAAACAACCAACCCAGUCAAGGCACUGGAUCUCGAGGAACUAUAAAAGUUGUUUUAAGGCACUAUUUUGCAGAUGUCUUAUUACAUAUGAGAAUAUCCACUGACAUGAUGUGUUAGUCACACUGUUGGAGGAGAAUAUGAGAAAUAUCCAUGGAUCAGUUCCCCUAAGUGAACCCUCUAAUAUUCCUGAGGCAAAAAAAAAAUCUACUGUUAGCAGAAUUCAAUACAGCUUACCUCUCCAAAAAUCUACUGUUAGCAGAAUUCAAUACAGCUUACCUCUCCUGUGGAGACCUUUGUUUUAGCCUCACACAUCCUUGGAGAAAAAAAGAAUUCAACUUUACAGAAAAAUAGCAAAAUAGGAGAACUCUUCUUAACUUUCAUGCUCAUUAAAGUGAAAAUUAAUUAAGAAGACAUCUGAGGUGUUUUUUUUUUUGGAGACAAGGUGUCAUUUUGUCACCCAGGCUGGAGUGGUGGUGUGAUCACAUCCCACUGUAGCCUCGAACUCCUGGGCUCAAGUGAUCCUCCCACCUCAGCCUCCAGAACAGCUGGCACUACAGGCAUUACACCACCACACCAGGCUAUUUUUGUUGUUGUUUUUGGUAGAGAUGG